AUGGCGUGUGGGCUGAGCUGGCUUCUCCUGGUGGCUGUGUUAGGAGGGGUCCAGUGUGAGGUGCAGCUGGUGGAGUCUGGGGGAAACUUGGUGCAGCCUGGGGGAUCCCUGACACUCUCCUGUGCAGCCUCUGGAUUCAAUUUUGGCAGCUAUGGGAUGAACUGGAUCUGCCAGGCUCCAGGGAAGGGCCUAGAGUGGGUCUCACGCAUAAGUAGUAAUGGUGAUAUUACAUACUACGCCAACUCUGUGAAGGGCCGAUUCAGCAUCUCCAGAGACAACAGCAAGAACGAGCUCUCUCUGCAAAUGAGCAGCCUGAGGGAGGAGGACUCGGCCCUGUACUACUGUGCGAGAUACAUAGUGACGAGAAGGCCCUACGGGCCCAAACACAAACCACCUGCAGGAGGAAGCAGGGUGAGCUUCAGGGCUGCAGGCCCCCAGGAGGCUCUGAGGACUCGCCCCUGA